AAAUCACGCCCAAAAAUGAUAAUAAAGACCAAGAUAAAAGGAUCACGUUCUCGACUACACGAGGCUCAUGGCGGACCACGGAACUCGAUUAAAACACUCCAAACCAGGAACCAUCCCCAUCCGUGUUUCAGUGUUGCAGAUGCCCAGGUUAUUUAGGGUUACCCUGGAUGCUAAUUUUAAUAUUUCAAAUCCCUCUCCCGGCAACCAUGACUAGAAGAAUGAGCUCGUAAAAAUUCUGCGAGCAGAAUCAUCACGUCUGAUCACUAAUAACAAAAUUUUCCUGAUGCUUUUAUUCAUGAUGUCUUGAAAAAAAUUCAAAAAAAAAAUCGGAAAAAUGUUUUUUCCAAUCAAGUGUCGAGCCAAAAUCCCAAAUUCUUUCGACAUCCGACACCGAUCUAAACCGAAAAAAAUGAAUUUUACCUUCAGAUGCGACAGCUAUAGAUUGCGCAGCCAUCUCGGAGAUCUCAAACCCUGCAACGAUCGAUGGUUGGCGACGGGAAAAAAUUAAAAUGGCAUAAACACCAACGAAUACAUAAAUCCAUAAAAAACACAUCUAGGGUUUACAUUUGGAAUUAGCGUGGAAGCCUUACCUGUUGAAAACCUCCCUCUCUCCCCCCGAUCUACCUCUGCGCGCGCAUGGGCGCCAGGAAAACCCUUGCAUAGGCGACCCUCUGCAAUGGGCCGGGUGCGGGCCAGGUCGAACCGACCGAUCCAGCAGAAGAACUAGUCUAAUCAAGCCGGACACUUGUAGAUAGUUUGUUUUUUUUUUUUAGCAAUAUCUCAGAAAUUAAAUUCUGGCAUCUUG
rnacentral:lncRNA from 1 species